GCUGAAGAACUUAGCGAAAUGCGAUAAGUAAUGUGAAUUGCAGAAUUCAGUGAAUCAUCGAAUCUUUGAACGCACAUUGCGCCCGCCAGUAUUCUGGCGGGCAUGCCUGUCCGAGCGUCAUUUCAACCAUCAAGCCCCGGGCUUGUGUUGGGGACCUGCGUCCGACGCAGGCCCUGAAAACCAGUGGCGGGCUCGCUGUCCACACCGAGCGUAGUAACUAACCUCGCUAUGGAGUGGCGCGGGCGCCUGCCGUAAAACCCCCAAUUUCACAAGGUUGACCUCGGAUCAGGUAGGAAUACCCGCUGAACUUAAGCAUAUCAAUAAGCGGAGGA
rnacentral:misc_RNA from 1 species